rnacentral:rRNA from 1 species
GUGGGGAAUAUUGCGCAAUGGGGGAAACCCUGACGCAGCGACGCCGCGUGGGUGAUGAAGGCCUUCGGGUCGUAAAGCCCUGUCGGAGGGGGAGAAGGACUGUCGGGCGAAUAGGCCGAUGGUCUGACGGUACCCUCAAAGGAAGCACCGGCUAACUCCGUGCCAGCAGCCGCGGUAAUACGGAGGGUGCAAGCGUUGCUCGGAAUCACUGGGCGUAAAGCGCGUGUAGGCGGUUUCGUAUGUCUGGCGUGAAAGCCCCGGGCUCACCCUGGGAAGUGCGUCGGAAACUGCGAGACUAGAGUCCCGGAGAGGAAGGUGGAAUUCCAGGUGUAGCGGUGAAAUGCGUAGAUAUCUGGAAGAACACCGGUGGCGAAAGCGGCCUUCUGGACGGUGACUGACGCUGAGACGCGAAAGCGUGGGGAGCAAACAGGAUUAGAAACCCGUGUAGUCC